CCUACGGGAGGCUGCAGUGGGGAAUAUUGCACAAUGGAGGAAACUCUGAUGCAGCAACGCCGCGUGGAGGAUGACGCAUUUCGGUGUGUAAACUCCUUUUAUAAGGGAAGAUAAUGACGGUACCUUAUGAAUAAGCACCGGCUAACUCCGUGCCAGCAGCCGCGGUAAUACGGAGGGUGCAAGCGUUACUCGGAAUCACUGGGCGUAAAGGAUGCGUAGGCUGGAAAUCAAGUCGAGAGUGAAAUCCAACGGCUCAACCGUUGAACUGCUCUCGAAACUGAUUACCUAGAAUAUGGGAGAGGUAGAUGGAAUUGGUGGUGUAGGGGUAAAAUCCGUAGAUAUCACCAGGAAUACCGAUUGCGAAGGCGAUCUACUGGAACAUUAUUGACGCUGAGGCAUGAAAGCGUGGGGAGCAAACAGGAUUAGAUACCCUUGUAGUC
rnacentral:rRNA from 1 species